rnacentral:rRNA from 1 species
CGUCGAGAUAUGACUGGGUGGGCUGAGCUAAUAGGUGUGGAAGGGGAUCAGCAAGACGACGAGCCCUAGCUGAUCCAGGAGGAUGAUGAGGCUCACAGGAACUGUGACACGGUCCAGACUGCUGCGGGAGGCAGCAGUGGAGAAUAUUGCACAAUGGGCGGAAGCCUGAUGCUGCCAUGCCGCGUGUGUGAAGAAGGCCUUCGGGUUGUAAAGCACUUUCAGUCGUGAGGAAGGUAGUGUAGUUAAUAGCUGCUUUAUUUGACGUUGGCGACAGAAGAAGCACCGGACAACUCCGUGCCUACAGCCGCGGCAAUACGGAGGGAGCGAGCGUUGAUGGGGAUUAUGGGGCGCAAAGCGCAUGCUGGGGGCGUGUUACGUCAGUUGUG